rnacentral:rRNA from 1 species
GGGGGGGGGGGGGGGGGGGGGGGGGGGGGGGGGGGGGGGGGGGGAGGGGGGGCUGUGGGGGGGUGCUCGGGUGGCGAAAGGGUGAGUGAAACGGGAGUACCCGGGCCUGGGGUUUGGGAUAGCGUGCGUGAACUGGGGAUCAUGCCGGAUAGGGGGGCAGGCUGCAGGGGGGGGGUGGGGAGGUUUCGGCGGUUGGGGAUGGCAGCGCGGCGGGUCAGCUUGUUGGUGGGGUAGGGGCUUACCAAGGCUUUGACGGGUCGCCGGCCUGAGCGGGUGACCGGCCACAUUGGGACUGAGAUACGGCCCAGACUCCUACGGGAGGCAGCAGUGGGGAAUAUUGCACAAUGGGCGGAAGCCUGAUGCAGCAACGCCGCGUGCGGGAUGACGGCCUUCGGGUUGUAAACCGCUUUCGCCUGUGACGAAGCGUGAGUGACGGUAAUGGGUAAAGAAGCACCGGCUAACUACGUG